CCCUUAGAUGUUCUGGGCCGCACGCGUGCUACACUGAGUGGAUCAGCGGGUCAGGUUGCGCGAAAGCGUUUCCUAAUCUUUAAAUCCGCUCGUGAUGGGGAUUGACGGUUGCAAUUUUCUGUCAUGAACGAGGAAUACCUUGUAAGCGCGGGUCAUCAUCCCGCGCUGAAUACGUCCCUGCCCUUUGUACACACCGCCCGUCGCUCCUACCGAUUGAGUGGUCCGGUGAGGCUUUGGGAUCUGAGCGGAAAGAGCGUUUCGCUGUUUCUGCCCGGAAAGCUCAGUCGAACCUUAUCAUUUAGAGGAAGGAGAAGUCGUAACA
rnacentral:rRNA from 1 species